AUGCUUGUUUUGUGAGGAAAAAGUUGUCAGGAAAAUUUUGAGCUUGUGUUUUCUUUUUCUUUUUUUUGACGAGGGGCAUGUGUUUUCUUUAAUUCGCAUCUCCGCUUCAGUUCACGAUGCAAGCAUUUUUCUUACGAUCUACUAAAUUAUGUGCAAUCUCAAUGUGGAAAUAGGGUGCACAAGUUGGAGUACAAAUAGUGCUAUAAAUUUACCUUGUCAGUAAUGGCUUGGACUAUCCCUUUCUCUGUAGUUGUCUUCAUAGGCAGCUUCGGUUUCUAAAUACUAUUAUUCGAUCUUUGUCAAGUGGGUAUGCUCUACUAACCCUAUUUCUGGAGCAGGAAAGGUUGGAUAUAAUUCAUCUGUUUUGAAUAUAAUAUACUUGUGUGUUGAAUUUAAUGUAGUAUGGAUCUCUUGGUGGCUGGUUGUGUUAUUUUUUAGUUACAUUUGUUGCCCCUUAGAGACAUAUGGUGUUACAACUGGUGGACACAAUACAUUUUAUGGAGACUCUAAAUUUAAAAGACAGUGUUGAAAAGGAUACCUUCUUCCUUAAGCUUCCAAAUUUAGCAGAGCAGCUUCCUCGUCCAAUCGUCCUGAAAAAAGUGUGACAUGGAAAUUCUAAUGUUAUAUAUCUACCUGAAAUGCCUUUGAAUGCCAGCUUAUGUUUUUGUUUUCUUGUUUAUACAGUUAGUUCCAUUAUUAGCUUCUGCACUUGAAUUUGGUUCAGCUGCUGCCCCUGCUUUGGCUACCUUGUUGAAAAUGGGUUCUUGGCUUUCCAAAGAAAGAAUUCAUUGCCAAGGUUUACCAGUACCUUAUUCCAGGAAACUCUCCAUUGGCACCAGCUGUGGAGUGUUUAGAGGACAUGCCUAUUCCCUUGUGCAGUGUCUAUGCUUUUACGAGAGGAGAACCCCCAUUUACAAACUGCACUCCGGACUUCACCAAUACUCUUGAUUAUAUAUUAUUUGCCCCUACUGAUAACAUAAAACCAGUCAGUUUCCUGGAGCUUCCAGAACUAGACUCAUCUGAUGUUGUUGGUGGAUUACCAAAUUACAGCCACCCAAGUGAUCAUCUACCAAUUGGUGCUGAAUUUGAAAUUACCAGGGACUAACUUAUCUUGCAGUGCAAGUGAUAUUUGUAAUCUCUUGCUCUAAUUCGAUAGCAACAAUGGGAGGGGGGUAUUUGAAUCUGGUUCUCCUAAUAAAGGAGAGCAGGCUAUGCCUUUGAGCUAUACAACACUUGGUGUAAUGUCCUAUAGUUUUCUUUUCUUUCACAUCUCUCUCUCUCUCUCUCUCAACAAAAGUUAAGGUUCAACUGAGAGAAUUGGAAA